UACGUAGGGGGCAAGCUUUAUCCGGAUAUACUGGGUGUAAAGGGAGCGUAGACGGCGAAGCAAGUCUGAAGUGAAAGGACGGGGCCCAACCCCGGAACUGCUUUGGAAACUGUUUUGCUUGAGUGCGGGAGGGGUAAGCGGAAUUCCUAGUGUAGCGGUGAAAUGCGUAGAUAUUAGGAGGUACACCGGUGGCGAAGGCGGCUUACUGGACCGUAACUGACGUUGAGGCUCGAAAGCGUGGGGAGCAAAC
rnacentral:rRNA from 1 species